rnacentral:rRNA from 1 species
AGCAGCCGCGGUAAUUCCAGCUCCAAUAGCGUAUAUUAAAGUUGUUGCAGUUAAAAAGCUCGUAGUUGAAUUUCGGGAUCAGUAUGUUGGUCGUGCUUCGGUACGUACUGUCAUUAUUGGUUUCUACCUUCUGAAGAACCUUGAUGUCAUUAAUUUGGUGUCUUGGGGAAUCAGGACUGUUACUUUGAAAAAUUAGAGUGUUUAAAGCAAGCAUACGCUUGAAUACAUUAGCAUGGAAUAAUGAAAUAGGACGUUUGAUUCUAUUUUGUUGGUUUCUAGGAUCGACGUAAUGAUUAAUAGGGAUAGUUGGGGGCAUUAGUAUUCAAUUGUCAGAGGUGAAAUUCUUGGAUUUAUUGAAGACUAACUACUGCGAAAGCAUUUGCCAAGGAUGUUUUCAUUAAUCAAGAACGAAAGUUAGGGGAUCGAAGACGAUCAGAUACCGUCGUAGUCUUAACCAUAAACUAUAGCCGACUAGGGAUCGGAUGAUGUUAUUUUUAAUGACUCAUUCGGCGCCUUAAC